rnacentral:rRNA from 1 species
CCCGCACAAGCGGUGGAGCAUGUGGUUUAAUUCGAUGCAACGCGAAGAACCUUACCUGGGCUUGACAUCCCGGGAAUCCCCUGGAAACAGGGGAGUGCCCUUCGGGAACCCGGUGACAGGUGCUGCAUGGCUGUCGUCAGCUCGUGUCGUGAGAUGUUGGGUUAAGUCCCGCAACGAGCGCAACCCUUGUCUUUAAUUGCCAUCAUUUAGUUGGGCACUUUAAAGAGACUGCCGGUGUUAAGCCGGAGGAAGGUGGGGAUGACGUCAAGUCCUCAUGGCCUUUAUGCCCAGGGCUACACACGUGCUACAAUGGGCGGUACAAAGCGACGCGAAGCCGCGAGGUGGAGCAAAUCGCAGAAAAUCGCCCUCAGUUCGGAUUGGAGUCUGAAACCCGACUCCAUGAAGGUGGAAUCGCUAGUAAUCGCGCAUCAGCAUGGCGCGGUCGAAUACGUUCCCGGGCCUU